AUAAUGCAGUCGAACGCACUCUCGUUUAGAUUGAAGGAGCUUGCUCCUGAUUGAUAAACAUUUGAGUGAGUGGCGGACGGGUGAGUAACACGUGGGUAACCUGCCCUAAAGUGGGGGAUAACAUUUGGAAACAGAUGCUAAUACCGCAUAAAACCUAACACCGCAUGGUGUAGGGUUGAAAGAUGGUUUCGGCUAUCACUUUAGGAUGGACCCGCGGUGCAUUAGUUAGUUGGUGAGGUAAAGGCUCACCAAGACCGUGAUGCAUAGCCGACCUGAGAGGGUAAUCGGCCACACUGGGACUGAGACACGGCCCAGACUCCUACGGGAGGCAGCAGUAGGGAAUCUUCCACAAUGGACGAAAGUCUGAUGGAGCAACGCCGCGUGAGUGAAGAAGGUUUUCGGAUCGUAAAACUCUGUUGUUGGAGAAGAAUGUAUCUGAUAGUAACUGAUCAGGUAGUGACGGUAUCCAACCAGAAAGCCACGGCUAACUACGUGCCAGCAGCCGCGGUAAUACGUAGGUGGCAAGCGUUGUCCGGAUUUAUUGGGCGUAAAGCGAGCGCAGGCGGUUUCUUAAGUCUGAUGUGAAAGCCUUCGGCUCAACCGAAGAAGUGCAUCGGAAACUGGGAAACUUGAGUGCAGAAGAGGACAGUGGAACUCCAUGUGUAGCGGUGAAAUGCGUAGAUAUAUGGAAGAACACCAGUGGCGAAGGCGGCUGUCUGGUCUGUAACUGACGCUGAGGCUCGAAAGCAUGGGUAGCAAACAGGAUUAGAUACCCUGGUAGUCCAUGCCGUAAACGAUGAGUGCUAGGUGUUGGAGGGUUUCCGCCCUUCAGUGCCGCAGCUAACGCAUUAAGCACUCCGCCUGGGGAGUACGACCGCAAGGUUGAAACUCAAGGAAUUGACGGGGGCCCGCACAAGCGGUGGAGCAUGU
rnacentral:rRNA from 2 species